rnacentral:lncRNA from 1 species
GGCCGGGCACAGCGUCGGCGCCAGUAAGCGGGGCCUUCCCUGGGCCUGAGAAGGUGGAUUCCUGAACUUUUUGGAAUUCCUGACACGGAGCUCCCCUCCCUGAAACUGCCCAGAGAUCUCAUUGCUGAUGCGGCCCGUCGCGGAGCCCCUGCCCGGCAGGGAGAGCUUCUCAGCCUUCCCCAGGCCCCGUCUUCGGUCCUGGGCCACCAGCGGGGCCGGGCUUGGCCCGUAGGCCCUGACCCUUGGCCGGCGAGCCCCCGUCCUUGACUCGACUCUAGACCAGAGUGGGAGGAAGGCGCUUUCAAGCUACCUUUAACAAGGCGGUGAGAGGAAGACCUUCUCCCAGCUAUUUUCACAUUUCCAGGCCCCCUUCGUAGGCCUCCUUGGUGUGGUCCGGCUCUCUGGGAAGGGAGGGAAGAAGGAGGAAGGGCACCCUACCUCUCUGGAGAGCAGAUCUCUCUUGCUGGGGCUCUCCGGGAGGGCCUGUCUAGAAAAUACAGGGAGCGAUGAUGGACUAUUGGUCGGUUAUCCUUCGAAGGCUCCAAGGCGGAACGCUCGCUCGGCUCUAUCUCCCCAGAGGCCAGGUCCAUGCUGGCUCGCCAAUUCUCCUCUGGAGCCCUGAUCGUCCUGGGAAGCCCAGCCUAGGCCCAUGCCUGACUCACCCAAAUCACCCCAAUGUCUGGAUCAAUGGAUCCUCCAAUGUGUAGGCGGCCUGCUGAGAUACAAAGACAAAAAGGAAAAUGUUCCCUCUGGAAGGGAAAGGCGGGAGGCUGGGGAGGACUCAUGUACCUACAGAAGGGCAUGCAGUGCCUCAACUGUAAAAAGAAGGAACCAAAAUGAACAUCAGCUGUGUGUUUCUGACUGUGGAAAUGGAGCAGGAUCUCAGCUCUAUUCCCCAACCCAGGCUCAAGCCUACCCCAGAAUAAAAAGGCAGAAGACUGUCCUGUCAAGGCUAACAUGAUUGGACUUAUCCAGACUUUGACACUCUGAUGCCAAUCCAUCCUCCCGGAGUUCUCAGGAAAGCGGGAGCCGCUCUCUUCCUGGAACCCAAAACUACCUUCUCCUAACAAAACCCAAGGUUACU